rnacentral:rRNA from 1 species
GACGAACGCUGGCGGCGUGCUUACCACAUGCAAGUCGAACGGAAAGGCCCUGCUUUUGUGGGGUGCUCGAGUGGCGAACGGGUGAGUAACACGUGAGUAACCUGCCCUUGACUUUGGGAUAACUUCAGGAAACUGGGGCUAAUACCGGAUAGGAGCUCCUGCUGCAUGGUGGGGGUUGGAAAGUUUCGGCGGUUGGGGAUGGACUCGCGGCUUAUCAGCUUGUUGGUGGGGUAGUGGCUUACCAAGGCUUUGACGGGUAGCCGGCCUGAGAGGGUGACCGGCCACAUUGGGACUGAGAUACGGCCCAGACUCCUACGGGAGGCAGCAGUGGGGAAUAUUGCACAAUGGGCGGAAGCCUGAUGCAGCAACGCCGCGUGCGGGAUGACGGCCUUCGGGUUGUAAACCGCUUUCGCCUGUGACGAAGCGUGAGUGACGGUAAUGGGUAAAGAAGCACCGGCUAACUACGUGCCAGCAGCCGCGGUGAUACGUAGGGUGCGAGCGUUGUCCGGAUUUAUUGGGCGUAAAGGGCUCGUAGGUGGUUGAUCGCGUCGGAAGUGUAAUCUUGGGGCUUAACCCUGAGCGUGCUUUCGAUACGGGUUGACUUGAGGAAGGUAGGGGAGAAUGGAAUUCCUGGUGGAGCGGUGGAAUGCGCAGAUAUCAGGAGGAACACCAGUGGCGAAGGCGGUUCUCUGGGCCUUUCCUGACGCUGAGGAGCGAAAGCGUGGGGAGCGAACAGGCUUAGAUACCCUGGUAGUCCACGCUGUAAACGGUGGGUACUAGGUGUGGGGUCCAUUCCACGGGUUCCGUGCCGUAGCUAACGCUUUAAGUACCCCGCCUGGGGAGUACGGCCGCAAGGCUAAAACUCAAAGGAAUUGACGGGGCCCCGCACAAGCGGCGGAGCAUGCGGAUUAAUUCGAUGCAACGCGUAGAACCUUACCUGGGUUUGACAUGGAUCGGGAGUGCUCAGAGAUGGGUGUGCCUCUUUUGGGGUCGGUUCACAGGUGGUGCAUGGCUGUCGUCAGCUCGUGUCGUGAGAUGUUGGGUUAAGUCCCGCAACGAGCGCAACCCUUGUUCACUGUUGCCAGCACGUUAUGGUGGGGACUCAGUGGAGACCGCCGGGGUCAACUCGGAGGAAGGUGGGGAUGACGUCAAGUCAUCAUGCCCCUUAUGUCCAGGGCUUCACGCAUGCUACAAUGGCUGGUACAGAGAGUGGCGAGCCUGUGAGGGUGAGCGAAUCUCGGAAAGCCGGUCUCAGUUCGGAUUGGGGUCUGCAACUCGACCUCAUGAAGUCGGGGUCGCUAGUAAUCGCAGAUCAGCAACGCUGCGGUGAAUACGUUCCCGGGGCU